UGAGGAAUAUUGGACAAUGGGGGCAACCCUGAUCCAGCCAUGCCGCGUGAGUGAAGAAGGCCUUAGGGUUGUAAAGCUCUUUCAAUAGUGAAGAUAAUGACGGUAGCUAUAGAAGAAGCUCCGGCUAAAUUCGUGCCAGCAGCCGCGGUAAUACGAAUGGAGCAAGCGUUGUUCGGAAUCACUGGGCUUAAAGCGUAUGUAGGCGGACUAGCAAGUCAGGAGUGAAAUCCCGGGGCUCAACCCCGGAACUGCUCUUGAAACUGCAAGUCUAGAAUCCUGGAGAGGUUGGGAGAAUUCCUAGUGUAGAGGUGAAAUUCGCAGAUAUUAGGAGGAAUACCAGUGGCGUAGGCGCCCAACUGGACAGGUAUUGACGCUCAGAUACGAAAGCGUGGGGAGCAAACAGG
rnacentral:rRNA from 1 species